rnacentral:rRNA from 1 species
UACAGAGGGGGCAAGCGUUGUUCGGAAUUACUGGGCGUAAAGGGCGCGUAGGCGGCCUGUUAAGUCGGACGUGAAAUCCCUCGGCUCAACCGGGGAACUGCGUCCGAUACUGGCGGGCUUGAAUUCGGGAGAGGGAUGUGGAAUUCCAGGUGUAGCGGUGAAAUGCGUAGAUAUCUGGAGGAACACCGGUGGCGAGGGCGGCAUCCUGGACCGACAUUGACGCUGAGGCGCGAAAGCCAGGGGAGCAAACGGG